CCAGACUCCUACGGGAGGCAGCAGUGGGGAAUAUUGGGCAAUGGGCGCAAGCCUGACCCAGCAACGCCGCGUGAAGGAAGAAGGCUUUCGGGUUGUAAACUUCUUUUGACAGGGAAGAGUAGAAGACGGUACCUGUCGAAUAAGCCACGGCUAACUACGUGCCAGCAGCCGCGGUAAUACGUAGGUGGCAAGCGUUGUCCGGAUUUACUGGGUGUAAAGGGCGUGUAGCCGGGCCGGCAAGUCAGAUGUGAAAUCCCGAGGCUCAACCUUGGAACUGCAUUUGAAACUGUUGGUCUUGAGUAUCGGAGAGACAGGCGGAAUUCCUAGUGUAGCGGUGAAAUGCGUAGAUAUUAGGAGGAACACCGGUGGCGAAGGCGGCCUGCUGGACUGCGACUGGCGUUGAGGCCCGAAAGCGUGGGGAGCAAACAGGAUUAGAUACCCUAGUA
rnacentral:rRNA from 1 species